AUGGGGUGACUGCGUACCUUUUGUAUAAUGGGUCAGCGACUUAUAUUCUGUAGCGAGGUUAACCGCAUAGGGGAGCCGUAGGGAAACCGAGUCUUAACUGGGCGAAUGAGUUGCAGGGUAUAGACCCGAAACCCGGUGAUCUAUCCAUGGGCAGGUUGAAGGUUGGGUAACACUAACUGGAGGACCGAACCGACUAAUGUUGAAAAAUUAGCGGAUGACUUGUGGAUGGGGGUGAAAGGCCAAUCAAACCGGGAGAUAGCUGGUUCUCCCCGAAAGCUAUUUAGGUAGCGCCUCGUGAACUCAUCUUCGGGGGUAGAGCACUGUUUCGACUAGGGGGUCAUCCCGACUUACCAACUCGAUGCAAACUGCGAAUACCGAAGAAUGUUAUCACGGGAGACACACGGCGGGUGCUAACGUCCGUCGUGAAGAGGGAAACAACCCAGACCGCCAGCUAAGGUCCCAAAGUCAUGGUUAAGUGGGAAACGAAGUGGGAAGGCUCAGACAGCCAGGAUGUUGGCUUAGAAGCAGCCAUCAUUUAAAGAAAGCGUAAUAGCUCACUGGUCGAGUCGGCCCGCGCGGAAGAUGUAACGGGGCUAAACCAUGCACCGAAGCUGCGGCAGCGA
rnacentral:rRNA from 1 species